rnacentral:lncRNA from 1 species
UUCAAUUGCAGCGGAAUAGCGGAUUUUUAAAUACUUGGGUUGACGUCACUAAACUUUUCAAGAAGCGGUGCGCGCCGUCAGCGUUUGUGAAUAGAGACGGAACAGAACCGUGCAUGAACGAGAGACAGCUGGGCGACAAGGAGACCGUACAAAACAAGGAAUCUUUCACUUCAUUCGGAGAGAGGGAACUGAUGAGUCAGAGGGGAGGAUAGAUGAGUAACGGACACUACUAGUGGGUUCCAGACACACAAAUCCAAACCAAGAAGGCUCCUGAUCCACUGCAGAGCCCAGGUCUCAGUACCACCAUAGAAGCUAUCGCAGUAUGAACCGAGCUUUCAACAGGAGAAAAGGUAACAGCUCACUGUAUUCAUUGAGUGCAUUUGAAAUAACACCAUGUUUCUUAUACACAAACAGCACAGUCUUUUGAAAGCGU